AUUGAACGCUGGCGGCAUGCCUAACACAUGCAAGUCGAGCGGAUGAAGGGGGCUUGCUCCUGGAUUCAGCGGCGGACGGGUGAGUAAUGCCUAUGAAUCUGCCUGGUAGUGGGGGAUAACGUCCGGAAACGGGCUCUUAUACCGCGUACGUCCUGUGGGCGAAAGUGGGUGAGCUUCGGUACUCACGCUAUCAUGUGAGGAUAGGUCGGAUUAGCUGGUUGGUGGGGUAAAUGCCUACCAAGGCGACGAUGCGUAACUGGGCCUAGGGGAUGAUCAGUCACCCUGUAAGUGAGAAACGGCCCACACUCCGACGGGGAGACACAGUGGGGACUACUGGACAAGGCAGGAAAGCCUGAUACAGCAAUGUCGGCUGUAUGCAGAAGGUCUUAGGCUUGUAAAGCAAUUUAAGUUGGGAGGAAGGGCAGUACGUUAAUACCUUGCUGUUUUGACGUUACCAACAGAAUAAGCACCGGCUAACUUCGUG
rnacentral:rRNA from 1 species